UAAUGAAGGCGCAGAUGCCGCUGAGCGUG
rnacentral:piRNA from 1 species